rnacentral:rRNA from 1 species
CCUACGGGUGGCAGCAGUGAGGAAUAUUGGUCAAUGGCCGGAAGGCUGAACCAGCCAUGCCGCGUGAAGGUCAGUGCCCUAUGGGCGUUAAACUUCUUUUGUGCGGGAGCAAUAAUGGUCACGUGUGGCCAGACGAGAGUACCGUACGAAUAAGCAUCGGCUAACUCCGUGCCAGCAGCCGCGGUAAUACGGGGGAUGCAAGCGUUAUCCGGGUUUAUUGGGUUUAAAGGGUGCGUAGGCUGUGAGGUAAGUCAGCGGUGAAAUGCCCCCGCUCAACGGGGUGAAGUGCCAUUGAUACUGCCUGGCUGGAAUGCGGAUGCGGUGGGAGGAAUGUGUGGUGUAGCGGUGAAAUGCAUAGAUAUCACACAGAACACCGAUUGCGAAGGCAUCUCACGAAUCCGCGAUUGACGCUGAUGCACGAAAGCGUGGGUAUCAAACAGGAUUAGAUACCCUGGUAGUC